rnacentral:rRNA from 1 species
CAGCAGCCGCGGUAAUACGAAGGGGGCUAGCGUUGUUCGGAAUUACUGGGCGUAAAGGGCGCGUAGGCGGCCAUUCAAGUUAGAUGUGAAAGCCCUGGGCUCAACCUAGGAAUUGCAUUUGAUACUGUUUGGCCUGAGUUCGGGAGAGGUGAGUGGAAUUCCCAGUGUAGAGGUGAAAUUCGUAGAUAUUGGGAAGAACACCAGUGGCGAAGGCGGCUCACUGGACCGACACUGACGCUGAGGCGCGAAAGCGUGGGGAGCAAACAGGAUUAGAUACCCGCGUAGUCCCUGUCUCUUAUAC